UCUCCGUUGGUGAACCAGCGGAGGGAUCAUUACUGGAAUCGCAAGAUCCCACAACCCCUGUGAACCUACCGAAACGUUGCCUCGGCGGGCGCCCGGCCCCGCGCCGGGCGCUGAGCCCGCCGGCGGCCCCCUACUCUUGUCUCUGCAGCGUGGCAUCUCAGGGUCCCAGAAAACAAGUAAAAACUUUCAACAACGGAUCUCUUGGCUCUA
rnacentral:misc_RNA from 1 species